AGAGAGAGACAUGCGCGCAUAUCAAUAAGCGGAGGAAAAGAAACUAACAAGGAUUCCCUUAGUAACGGCGAGUGAAGCGGGAAGAGCUCAAAUUUGAAAUCUUCAAGGUUUUACCUUGACGAAUUGUAGUUUAAAGAAGUGUUUUCUGCUGAAGUUUUGGUAAAAGUUCUUUGGAAUAGGACAUCAUAGAGGGUGAGAAUCCCGUAUUUGACCAUUAUUUUCAGCUUUGUGAUACACUUUCAAAGAGUCGGAUUGUUUGGGAAUGCAGUCCAAAAUGGGCUGGUAAAUUUCAUCUAAAGCUAAAUAUUGGCGAGAGACCGAUAGCGAACAAGUACCGUGAGGGAAAGAUGAAAAGAACUUUGAAAAGAGAGUUAAACAGUACGUGAAAUUGUCAAAAGGGAAGCGUUUGACACCAGUGUUGUUUUCUCGAAAAUCAAUUAAAAAUGGCUCGAUUUUGUAUUGUUGAGACCUUAAAAGCUCACUGUACAUUUUUCGUGUCUUUUUUAAUGCACUUUUCGUUUAACAAGUCAACAUCAGUUUCUUUUGUUGUAAAAGGGUCAUUGGAAGGUGGCUUUCUUUUCGGGGAAAGUGUUUAUAGCCUUUGGCCUCCGCAAUCGGAGAGACUGAGGUCUGCAGCGUAGACUCUUCGGGGUUAGAUACAUUUGUGCUAAGUUAUAGCUUUUUAUAGACAACUUGUUGACUAUAAUUAGUCUUGUAGCUUACUCGCUUAUGCUAUUUUACCUACGCUUAGGAUGUUGAGUCGUAGAGCACGCAG
rnacentral:rRNA from 1 species